AUCUAAAAACUUCCAAUUCCAGUGGAAAGCGAAGUGGCUUCGCUCCAUGUUGGACGUCGUCUCCAGAAAAAACAGACUUUCAUAAGGUGUCGGCGCAUUUCGGUGCGAAGGAGGCGGAGUCCGUCUGGCGUAAUAAAAGAAAUCUGGGGGGAAAAAGUGACAGAUGUGGACACCCGUGCCAGUGAGAAAAGUGAGAGUGGGACUGUCAGACAUGUCGACUCCGGCGCGGUGAUGGAUGGAGAGUGAGAACCUGUGGUGAUGCUGCAAACGGUUCAGCCCAG